CGGACGGGUGAGUAAUGUCUGGGAAACUGCCUGAUGGAGGGGGAUAACUACUGGAAACGGUAGCUAAUACCGCAUAACGUCGCAAGACCAAAGAGGGGGACCUUCGGGCCUCUUGCCAUCGGAUGUGCCCAGAUGGGAUUAGCUAGUAGGUGGGGUAACGGCUCACCUAGGCGACGAUCCCUAGCUGGUCUGAGAGGAUGACCAGCCACACUGGAACUGAGACACGGUCCAGACUCCUACGGGAGGCAGCCAUG
rnacentral:rRNA from 1 species